rnacentral:rRNA from 1 species
GAUGAACGCUGGCGGCGUGCCUAAUACAUGCAAGUCGAGCGAAUGGAUUAAGAGCUUGCUCUUAUGAAGUUAGCGGCGGACGGGUGAGUAACACGUGGGUAACCUGCCCAUAAGACUGGGAUAACUCCGGGAAACCGGGGCGAAUACCGGAUAACAUUUUGAACCGCAUGGUUCGAAAUUGAAAGGCGGCUUCGGCUGUCACUUAGGGAUGGACCCGCGUCGCAUUAGCUAGUUGGUGAGGUAACGGCUCACCAAGGCAACGAUGCGUAGCCGACCUGAGAGGGUGCUCUGCCACACUGGGACUGAGACACGGCCCAGACUCCUACGGGAGGCAGCAGUAGGGAAUCUUCCGCAAUGGACGAAAGUCUGACGGAGCAACGCCGCGUGAGUGAUGAAGGCUUUCGGGUCGUAAAACUCUGUUGUUAGGGAAGAACAAGUGCUAGUUGAAUAAGCUGGCACCUUGACGGUACCUAACCAGAAAGCCACGGCUAACUACGUGCCAGCCGCCGCUGUAA